GACGAACGCUGGCGGCGUGCUUAACACAUGCAAGUCGAACGAAGAGCGACGGAAGCUUGCUUCUGUCAAUCUUAGUGGCGGACGGGUGAGUAACGCGUAAUCAACCUGCCCUUCAGAGGGGGACAACAGAUGGAAACGACUACUAAUACCACAUACGACCUAAUCUCGGCAUCGAGGAGGGAUGAAAGGUGGCCUCUACAUGUAAGCUAUCACUGAAGGAGGGGAUUGCGUCUGAUUAGCUAGAUGGAGGGGUAGCGGCGCACCAAGGCGAUGAUCAGUAGCCGGUCUGCGAGGAUGGACGGCCAGACUGAGACUGAGACACGGCCCAGACUGAUACGGGAGGCAGCAGUGGGGAAUCUUCCGGCAUGGGCGAAAGUCUGUCGGAGCAACGCCGCGGGCGUGAUGACGGCCGUCGGGUUGUAAAGCUCUGUUAUUCGGGACGAAAGGCCUUCUUGCGAAGAGGGAGAAGGAUUGACGGUACCGGAAUAGAAAGCCACGGCUAACUACGUG
rnacentral:rRNA from 1 species